UGGGGCGUGGCUUGGUGGUAGAGUGCAGGCUUAGCAUGCCUGAGGCCCUGGGUUCAAUCCCCAGCACCAAAA
rfam:Ictidomys tridecemlineatus contig063019, whole genome shotgun sequence.